UCUCAGCUUUGCACCCAGAUGUGUUCUGCAGGAGGCAGGCUUUCAGUGUCCCCCCACACCGAGCACCCCACCAGAGUUUGGAGGAGCUUGGGGACAACUGCGGAGGGAGAGACCCCUGGCCUUGGUCCCUCCCCUCAGAUCCGCUCGCGUCACCAUGGCCCAGAUUCCGCUGCUGGAAAUACACUCGCAAUUAAAUCGAAAAGCCCAGAGAGGAAGGGGAGGUUACACAACACCUCAUUCCCGGCGGCUCCCAGCGGCCCGGUGGACACACCUGCCUUGCCAUGGCUGUCCCUGGCCUGGUCCCAGCCCCCCGGGUCCCAAGUCUCGGGCGGUGACGCGGCCACCGGGGCCCAGCCCGCUCCGCCCUGGGAGGGUGACCUGGGGCAGCCGGCAGGCCCCUUGUCUUCACAUGGGGUCAUCGCCCCUUCCGGGGCUGGGUAAACAGAGGUGUGCGGGCACAGGUGAUGUGACAGUGGCCCGCUUCCCGUGUGUGCUGCCUACCUCAACAAUACCUGUGUCACUGCUGUAGAACGGCUGUAAAACAGAAGGAAGCCAGAGUCACCCACAAGUCCAGAGCCAGAGGGAACCGGGGUGGCCUUGUAGCCGCAUCCUUUCAACCUGGCCCCAGAAUACAGGAUCGAGGAACCAGAAGCCGGGUUCAUAGAAAAUACCCAAACUGCAGCACAGAGAGAAAAGACAGAUAAGGAAAGAACAGAGAAACAUA